CUCAUAAAACUUCAUUUAAAUGUGGCUUAAAUAAAGCUUGUCACAUUGUAGGACUGUAUCAGUGGAAGCUGUAGUAUUGUGUAUUUCAUUAUAACCCUUCCAUCAGGACAUCCCAGCAAGGAAUCUGGAAUCUACAAAACUAACAAGCUUUUACUUUGUGUUCUUCAGCCGUGAGAAUUGUUCUAAUAUGGAGCUGUGGCAGAGACUCCAUCGAACACUCAAUGGAAACCUAUCAAAGACAACUGCAAACAAUCAAAACCACUGGGACGUAAAAAAGGGACAUUUUGACAGAUCGAGGAUCACCCUGCCUUUAAUAGAGAUGGAAAAAUGUUUCAGUAUAACGGAGUGGGGAAAGGCACUGUGGAUCCAUUCAUUGAGGAGACAUCUUGUUGAGUGAAAGUUUUUCAUGAAGAAUUGAAUCCUGGUUCCUGUAAAGCCAGUCAGCUCUGCAAGAGACUGAACUAUUUUUUGUGUGGGUGAGCAUACUUUAUUAGUUACAAAAGGUAACUCUUAAUAAACUGUAGGCCCUAAUUCAUGUUUUGUGAUUUGUUUUUGUGUUUUUUGGUUUUUUUUUUUUUUUGU